UAGAACUUGUGGCGAUCCUCCUGCCUCAGCCUCUCAAGUGCUCAGAUUACAGGCCUGUGCCACCAAGCCUGGUUCCUUGGUAACUUUAAUCUCAACUCUGAUCCCUCUCUUGUAUGCUCCACUCCUCUCCCUUGGCCAGCCCUCUUCUACAGAGGUUACUAAAGUGGAAAAUCAUGUAUCAUAUUUCAGCAACAGUUUUCUCCCCACCUCCCAAGACAUCAGAGAAAGCAGCAUCAGAACUUGGGUGGAUCCCUCGAAUACACUGUGCCUAAUGUUCACAUCUAUAAAACGAGGACAAGAAUAUUUGCCUUACAGGAUUGUUGGGUGGGUUAAUAAGUUGACAUGCCCUGGCACAUGGAUGUCUGGCCAUGUGAGCUUGUAUCCCCACCCAGCCCUAGACCUCUCCAUGCAUUGGUUGGGCACUGUCUCCUGCACAGAUGCAGGGUGUCAGAGGCACCAAGACAGUAACACAAAGAUGUUCUGGAGAAGUUGUCAUUUCAGGAGCAAAGCCUUGUGCCCCACUGGGGGAAACCUAGUUGAUAAUAACAACCGACACGUCAAGAGCACUCACUGCAUGUCCAUGUCAUCUGAGUGCUUCAUAUCCGGUAAUUUCUUGGACCAUCACCCACUACUCUUAAUUACAUUUUACAGAUGAGGAAACUGAGACACAAAGAGUUUUAGUAACUGUUCCUCAAUCACCCGUAAAUAGGUGGUAAAGUCAGGCUCUGAUUCAGAUAUGAACUCUACGACCUACCAUCGUAAGCAUAUGCUAUGCUAGAAAUUUCCAGUCCCAAAUGUCAGAGAGGGAAAAAUCAUUCUGGUUGUAGCCCAGAGAACUCUCUAAGGGUUUCUGCUUGGUAAAAACCAGUUCUCCUCGCCUCUCCCUUCCAGAUUCUCAUACCAGUACCCUCACCACCUCAUCGCUCUCUUCUCUUCUCUACUCAGGACCCCUAAGUCUGAGCACUCAGAGCUGGCUGCUGUGACCAGGCCAGAAGACUGAGGCUACAGGCUACCCAGCCCUGCCUCACCCACCCCCAGAGCUGUUCUUUGUGUGGAGAGAGUGAUUUUUGCACCAGGCCUGUCCCUCUCUGAGGUGCCCUCAGGCUGUUCGGGAAGACUUCCUGGAAGAGGAGGGGGAAGAGAAUCGAGUACAUGCAGAGGAGAAAGCUCUAAGGACGGGAGAGGCACAGAAGCCCUGGAUGUGACAGCAGACAAGUCAAUAGCCUGGCUGUGCCCACGGGAAGGGUCCAGCUCCCUCCAGGAGAAAGUUCGUUUACCUCUGCUGCUGCCUUCCUUAGUAGAAAUAAACGGCAGAAGAUGUGGUCCUCUGCUCCAUUAAAAAGAGGACUUUAAACACUCAGCCACAAAACGAAGACGUCGUCGUUUCUCACUGCCCUUUGAAUGAGCUGGUCCAGGGUCAGGUUCUCCAACAAAAGAAUCCAGUCCAGCGCCAAGUCUUCGCCCUGGGGGCUAAGCACCGCUGGAUUAUGGAGCAAAAGUGGAAGCUGUUUGUCGGUUUAAACUUUGCCGAACACCUUCUCAGUGCUGGUGGAGCUGAACUCCCCGCGGGCUGUCGGAAGCUAAGGUCUCCCACCCUUGAAGCAGCCGCAGUACGGCCAGCCACACCGGGAGGCGGUACUGGACCGCCUGGGCCUGCAAACACCCGCAGGCUCGAAGGUUCCCACCUGGCAGGACCCUCCAGCGUUCUCCAGUCGGGAGAGGCGCUGGUCUCCUGGGGCGCGUCCAGCACUGGGAUUCCUGGUGGCCACGAGGCCACACCGAGGAUCCGAUCACGAGGCCCACCUAGUCGGCCGGGGCUGGCCAGGGGUCCA